rnacentral:rRNA from 1 species
GAGGAAGGUGGAUAUGUUAAUAGCAUAUUCAUUUGACGUUAGCUGCAGAAGAAGCACCGGCUAACUCCGUGCCAGCAGCCGCGGUAAUACGGAGGGUGCGAGCGUUAAUCGGAAUUACUGGGCGUAAAGCGCAUGCAGGUGGUUUGUUAAGUCAGAUGUGAAAGCCCGGGGCUCAACCUCGGAAUUGCAUUUGAAACUGGCAAACUAGAGUACUGUAGAGGGGGUAGAAUUUCAGGUGUAGCGGUGAAAUGCGUAGAGAUCUGAAGGAAUACCGGUGGCGAAGGCGGCCCCCUCGGACAGAUACUGACACUCAGAUGCGAAAGCGUGGGGAGCAAACAGGAUUAGAUACCCUGGUAG